AUGGAUAUUUGUCACUUCUGGCUGAUUCGGGCGAUGUGUUCCAGCUCAAAAAACACCUCCCCCAACUCCAGCUACGUCCUCGGAUUAGGAGAAGGAAGACGGGAAGAGGGGAAAAAAAAAAAAAAAAAAACACACACACACACUCCGCGUUUCAAGCACAACCUCCAGGCCUCUUCGGCAGUUUGCUUCCAACCCAGCGCCUUCCGGAACGCCCCGAGGGAAGGGCAGCAGCGCGGGGCCCCCCCUAACGGCGGGCCUGCCCCCGGGAGCGGCCGGGGCACGCGGCGCAGGGGCGGCCCCGUGCGACAGGCCCCGAACCGCCGCCAUCUGCCGGGGCCUGCGCCGCGCCUGGCGGUACCCGCAGGGCCCCGCUGCCCCCCGCAGGCCGGGCCCCGCCUCCCCCUCCCCUCCCCCUGCGCCCCGCGCGGCCCUCACGGCGCGGGGCCGGGGCCGGGGCCGGGGCCGGGGCCGGGGCCGGGGCAGGGCCAGACCGGGCCGGGCCGCCCGCCUCGCUCCGUACGGCCCCAGCCCGGCCCCGCGGCGCAAGGCCCGCGCUGCCCGCCCCCUCCCCGCGCUCCCGGCCCCGUCCCCACGCCCCCGGUCCCGGUCGCGGCCCCGGCCCCGUCCCGCACCUCCCGCGGUGCCCCCGCGCUGCGGCCUCCUCGCGCUCCGCCGGCCACUGGACGAGCGCGCGGCCCGCGCCUGCGCAUUAGAGCCCGCGCCCGACGCUGCGCCGGCGCUCCGGGGCCUGGCGCCUGCGCGCGGAGCCCCCGCUCCCUCCGGCACCGCGCCUGCGCGCCGCCUCCCGCCCGCCAAAUGGCGGCUCCCCCCUCCCCUCCCCUCCCCUCCCCUCCCCCCAGUCCCCGAGGCGCGCCACGCUCCGCGCUGUGUCCGCCACGGGCCCUUUAUUGCCACAGCGCCCGCCCCGCGCCGAGCCAAAGCCGCCGGCCCCGCGCGGGCAGCUCCGCCCGUCCCUCGUGGUGCCCGGUCCGUGCCCCGUGCCCCGUCCCGUCCCGUCACGUCAGGCCGGCAGCUCCAGGAACUCCUCCAGGCUCCUCCUGA
rnacentral:lncRNA from 1 species